UCCGGUUCAUCACCAGCAGUCUCCUUAGAGUCCCCAACAUAACUUGAUGGUAACUAAGGAUAAGGGUUGCGCUCGUUACGGGACUUAACCCAACAUCUCACAACACGAGCUGACGACAGCCAUGCAGCACCUGUCUCAGAGUUCCUUUCGGCACUCUCGUAUCUCUACAAGAUUCUCUGGAUGUCAAGGGUAGGUAAGGUUCUUCGCGUUGCAUCGAAUUAAACCACAUGCUCCACCGCUUGUGCGGGUCCCCGUCAAUUCCUUUGAGUUUUAACCUUGCGGCCGUACUCCCCAGGCGGUCGACUUCACGCGUUAGCUUCGUUACUGAGAGUGUCAAACCCCCAACAACCAGUCGACAUCGUUUAGGGCGUGGACUAC
rnacentral:misc_RNA from 1 species